rnacentral:rRNA from 1 species
GAGAAGCAAGACCGUGAGGUGGAGCAAAACUCAAAAACUUAGUCUCAGUUCGGAUUGUAGGCUGAAACUCGCCUACAUGAAGCUGGAGUUGCUAGUAAUCGCGAAUCAGCAUGUCGCGGUGAAUACGUUCCCGGGCCUUGUACACACCGCCCGUCACACCAUGAGAGUUGGCAAUACCCAACGUACGUGAUCUAACCCGCAAGGGAGGAAGCGUCCUAAGGUAGGGUCAGCGAUUGGGGUGAAGUCGUAACAAGGUACC